GCCUCUGUAGCUCAGUGGCAGAACACUGGACUGUAAAACAGGGGUCGCGAGUUCAAUCGUCACAGGAGGCA